rnacentral:rRNA from 1 species
GGACUACUGGGGUUUCUAAUCCCGUUCGCUCCCCUGGCUUUCGCAUCUGAGCGUCAGGAGCUUGCCAGGACAUUGCCUUCGCCUUUGGUGUUCCUCCGGAUCUCUACGCAUUUCACCACUCCACCCGGAAUUCCAUGUCCCUCUCAAGCCCUCAAGUCCAACAGUUUUCAAAGCACUUUCCCGGUUAAGCCGGCAACUGUCACUCCAAACUUAUUGGACCGCCUGCAUGCGCUUUACGCCCAGUAACUCCGGACAACGCUCGCCCCCUACGUAUUACCGCGGCUGCUGGCAC